ACUGUAUCAAUUUUUAGCUACUAAAGCAUACUGAAAUGAGUAGGUAGCUUAAAAAGAUUCCUAUACCUUUGCGUUCUCUCUCCCUCUCCCAACAUGGCGGCCUCAGCAAAAAAGAAGAAUAAGAAGGGGAAAACUAUCUCCCUAACAGACUUCCUGGCUGAGGACGGAGGGACUGGGGGAGGAAGCACCUAUGUCCCCAAACCAGUCAGCUGGGCUGAUGAAACAGAUGACCUGGAAGGAGAUGUCUCAACCACUUGGCACAGUAAUGAUAACGACGUGUACAGGGCACCUCCAAUUGACCGUUCUAUCCUGCCCACUGCUCCACGGGCUGCUCGGGAACCCAAUAUCAACCGGAGCCGUCUUCCGAAAUCGCCGCCCUAUACUGCUUUUCUAGGGAACCUGCCCUGUGAUGUGACAGAAGAAUCCAUUAAGGAAUUCUUCAGAGGAUUAAAUAUCAGUGCAGUGCGUUUACCAUGUGAACCCAGCAAUCCAGAGAGGUUGAAAGGUUUUGGUUAUGCUGAGUUUGAGGACCUGGAUUCUUUGCUCAGUGCCCUGAGCCUCAGCGAAGAGUCUCUAGGUAACAGGAGAAUUCGAGUGGACGUUGCUGAUCAAGCACAGGAUAAAGACAGGGAUGAUCGUUCUUUUGGCCGAGACAGAAAUCGGGAUUCUGACAAAACAGAUACAGACUGGAGGGCCUGUCCUGCCACAGACAGCUUCGAUGACUACCCGCCGAGGAGAGGUGAUGAUAGCUUUGGAGACAAGUAUCGAAAUCGUUACGAUUCCGACCGAUACCGGGACGGGUACCGUGAUGGGCCACGCCAAGAUACGGAUCGGUACGGGGGCCAGGAUCUCUAUGAUGACCGAGGCGGCAGGGACUACGACAGAGGCUACGACUCCAGGAUAGGCAGUGGCAGAAGAGCGUUUGGUAGCGGGUACCGUAGGGACGAUGACUACGGAGGAGGUGGGGACCGCUACAAAGACGGCUACGACAGACGAGACGAGCGGCCCUGGAGCUCCAGGGACGACUACUCCCAGGACGACUACAGGCACGAGGAGAGAGGUCCCCCCAAAAGACCCAAACUGAAUCUAAAGCCUCGGAGGACUCCUAAGGAAGAUGAUUCCUCUGCUAGCACCUCCCAGUCCAGUCGAGCGGUCUCUAUCUUUGGAGGGGCAAAGCCUGUUGACACAGCUGCUAGAGAGCGAGAAGUAGAAGAGCAGCUGCAGAAGGAGCAGGAGAAGCUGCAGCGCCAGCUGGAUGAGCCAAAACUAGAACGACGGCCCCGGGAGAGACACCCCAGCUGGCGAAGUGAAGAGACUAGGAAUGGGAACGGUCCAGGACAGGAAGUGAGUCAUCACAGACUGGGACCUCGGCCACAUCUGGCAGAAAUGCACGAAGGAGAGAGAGUGAAAAGUCUCUAGAAAACGAAGCACCCAAUAAGGAGGAAGACUGUCACUCUCUAACUUCUAAGCCUCCCAAAUCUGAGCAGCCUCUGAAGGUAAUGCCAGCCCCUCCACCAAAGGAGAAUGCUUGGGUGAAGCGAAGUUCUAACCCUCCUGCUCGAUCUCAGAGCUCAGACACAGAGCAGCAGUCCCCUACAAGUGGUGGGGGGAAAGUAGUUCCAGCUCAGCCACCUGAGGAAGGACCAGCAAGGAGAGCAGAUGAAAACGAAGUAGAUGGGGUGAGUGUCCCAAAAGGCCAAAGUGGGAACUCCAGCCGUGGUCCAGGAGAUGGAGGGAACAAAGACCACUGGAAGGAGUCCAAUAGGAAAGAUGGCAAAAAGGAUCAAGACUCCCGAUCUGCACCUGAGCCAAAGAAACCUGAAGAAAAUCCAGCUUCCAAGUUCAGUUCUGCAAGCAAGUAUGCUGCUCUCUCUGUUGAUGGUGAAGAUGAGAACGAGGGAGAUUACACCGAAUAGACCUCUGCACCCUGUGCUUUUUCCUAGUCUCUCCACCCUGGAACAUUCGAGAGCCAAUCAAACCUCUCUCCAGACAAGACAAUAAAACUCACCAUCUCCUGGG